rnacentral:rRNA from 1 species
UGAGGAACAUGACCUUCGGCGGGGGAUAGCCGGCCCAACGGCCGGGUAAUACCGCGUACGACCACUCGGGGACAUCCCUAGGUGGUGAAAGCAGCAAUGCGCCGAUGGAGUGCCUCGCGGCCUAUCAGCUAGUUGGUGAGGUAACGGCUCACCAAGGCGACGACGGGUAGCUGGUCUGAGAGGAUGGCCAGCCACAUUGGGACUGAGACACGGCCAGACUCCGUACGGGAGCA